rnacentral:lncRNA from 1 species
ACACAGAUUACUUGCCAUCUAGGGGAGGGGGGAGGGAAAAGGAGGGGAAAUUUUGGAAUACAAGACUAUGCAAGGGUCAAUGUUAAAAAAUUAUCCGCGCAUGUUUUGAAAAUAAAAAGCUUUAAUAAAAAAAUAUCAAUUGGAAAAAAAAAAAGGGUAUCAUCAUCCUCUCACUCAGACUCACAACUUCAGGCUUAUCUUUGACUCUUGAUCAUUUUCAUUCUACAUAUCUAAUUUGUUUAUCUCUUUAUAAUUCUUCUCUUAUCGGUGCCCUUCUUAUAUAGACCCCAGCAUCUUAAACUGUGGUUUGUACCUGAUGUGGCACCUUGUAACUGAAUGUGGGUAUGGUGAAAUUAUGAUUUAGUAUCAGUAAUAGACUGGUUUGUAUACCUAUUUUAUAUACCUAUAUAUAUCUGGAGUCACAUAAAAAUUUCUUGGGUAAAAAAGGAUUGUGAGUUAAAAAAGUUUAAGAAGUCCUGGCAUAAUCUACAUCAUAUUACAGAUCUUUACUUCCUGCUUGGACUAUUGCAGUAUCGAACUGGAUUCUUUGCCCCUCAUCAAGAGGGGUAUGGCCAUGUCCACUCCCCCUCCUGCCCUACUCCCUGCCUGUACUGAGUUCCAGGAGCAAAUAUAAAGUUCUCCAUUUGAUAUUUAAAAACUUUUCACAACCUGCCUCUUCCCAUCUUCCAGUCUUCUCUCCAUGUACUAUGAUCUAACCAUACUUACUAUUUUCACAGGACACUCCCAUCUCCUAACUACAUACAUUUGCAAUGGCUGUCUCUCAUGCCCAUAAAUCUCUCCCUCCUCAUCUUCAAGUCCCACCUUCCCCAGCUUUUUUCAAAACUCAACUCAAAUCCCAACUUCUACAGAUAAUUAGUAUGUAUUGGGAACCUAUCAUGUGCCUAUUGGGUACUUUGCUAUGCCCCCAAAGAAUGGCAAAAACAGUCCCUACCCUCAAAAAGCACAUAGAUUAAUAACAUUUAAGCAACUAAGCAUAGUCUAAUAACAUACAAACAACUAUAUACAAACAAGUUAUUCAUAGAAAAUCUCAGAGGAAAAGAAGUAACAUUUAAAGGAGAUUGAGAAAGUUUCUUGAAGAAAUUUCUUCAUGGGAUAGGAUUAGGAUUUUAGUUAACAGGAUUUUAAGUAAUAUUUGCUAAAAACCAGAGAAACCAAUGUACAGAGAUGGGGAGAGAAUUAUACAAGUUUUUACUGUUUCCCUUGCUUCCUUUCCCACUCCCCAUAGUACUUCCUUCUAAGACAAGAGAUCUGUGGUCUGUGGAUAGAUUCAAGGGGUUCAUGAAUUUUUAAAACAUUUUGAUAAGCACAUUUCAAUGAUUUUUUUUGGAAUCCUACUUAUGUAUUUAAAAACAUCAUGGAAAGAAUUUCAUAGGUUUCAUCCGACUGCAAAGGGUUCAUGACACAGAAAAGAUUAAGAACCCCCACUGAUACUGUAAAUAGCUAGUGUGUACAUGAUUUCUUCCAUGUUGUCUCUCCCAAUAGAAUGAACUGCUGGAGGUCAGGUUUCUUUGUAAUUCCCCUUGUAUGGCACUUGUUAUUUGUCUUUUGUUGAAGAGAAUCAAUGAUAUCAUAGGGUAAUGUCUUGGUUUGUUUUCAAACUGGUUUUAAAGUAAGGCAGAGUUGUGCAAAGUCAUCAGCAGAAUCAGUAUGGUUUUAUGUUUCAAAAACCACAUUUUUAUAAGACUCAUCUAGAAAAAAAUAAACUAAAUUUUUAUUUCCAUUUCACAAUAAACCCAUCUCAUAAUUUAUCAUUUAUUUUUAAGAGCAUUUAAAGUAGUACAAUGGCACAGUCUAAAAAAAUAAUAGUACCUAACUUUGAGCUCUGGCUUUGACACUUCCUAGCCAUAGGACUAUGUUUUCUCCAUGGAUAAAAUGGAUAUGAUUAAUACUAUCUCUUUUGCCUGCUUCACAGUUAUAGAGAUCAGAAAAGCAAUGUAUAAUAAAUAUAGCAUUCAGUUUUAGGGAUGGAGUAAACACAGGAAUAGGCAACUGAAAUUAUUUUAGAUGUCAUAGCUUCUAACCCUAUUCCUGCCUAUUUUCCCUAUAUUUGUACAAUUUAUACUAUAAAGGCAAUGACGCAUUUGGAAUUUGUGAGCAAAGGAGAUGAUGUAAUGCAUUUUAAAAAUCUUCAAGUGCUAUGUCAGUUACUAUUACUCAAAUUUACAUUUAUUUAAUAGGUCAGAUUAGCUUAUAUGGAUGUUUUUCAUCUAUACUAUAUUAUACUUCUCAUUUCUGCUUAUUACUCAUUAUACUUUCCAAUUAUUCUUAAUAAGAUUGUCUCAGAAAUUUCAAGAGGUCAUGAGUUGUCUCACUAGGAGUCUUCAAGAAAAAGUUGGAUAACUAUGAUCUGGUUAUCAAGUAGAGGAUGUCCUGCUUUCUGUCAAAGCUCCAAGGUCAUCAGUGAGGAGAGCAAUCACAAUGGGAAGCUCAUCUUCAUUAUCAUCACCAAUUGUUGAUCAACCCCCCCAAAGUCCAAAGUCACAGGAAUGGCAGUAUUUCCCUGACCACCAGCUCCGCUUCAAACGCUCUGGAGAUUAAAUCUGGUGAUUACUUCCAUGGGUGCUAUAGCCACAAGUACUGAAGGCUCAAGAGAAAGUUUCUGUCAUUAAAAUAUUUUACAGUGCCAAAUGGUUCAAUGUCAGAAAAUAGGAUUUUAUCAGUGGAAAUGACAUCUUAAAAGAGGAAGUUUUAGCUGCACCCUAAAGACUUUUCCAUCUGAUUUGUACCAAAAGUCUCCUUUUUGUGUGAUCUUUUCCAUUAGAAUGACAGCUCCAUGAGAGUAGGGACAUCUUUUUCUAUUGGUGCCCCCUGGGAUUAGAGUACAUCAUAAGCACACGUGCUUUUUCUUUCAUUCAUUCUUUCAUCCAGGUUGGUAUUAGCUGAUUCUGAGGUACCUUGCAACUGUAAGAUUCUGAGUGUUGCCGUGAAAAGAAAAUUAUUUUAAGCAUAUUGACCGUCUUAGAGAUUGGAUUCCACUAGAUUAGUCAAAAGAAGUAGAUACAUAGAUAUGGGCUUAAUACAGUGUCUCCCACAUAAGAUGUACUUAAGUGUUAGUGGAUUCAUGAG